AAUUGGAGGGCAAGUCUGGUGCCAGCAGCCGCGGUAAUUCCAGCUCCAAUAGCGUAUAUUAAAGUUGUUGCAGUUAAAAAGCUCGUAGUUGAAUUUCGGGAUCAAUAUUUCGGUCAUGCCGUUGGUAUGCACUGUUAUCAUUGAUUUCUCACCUUCUAAAGAACCGUAAUGCCAUUAAUUUGGUGUUACGUGGAAUUAGGACUGUUACCUUGAAAAAAUUAGAGUGUUAAAGCAGGCUCACGCUUGAAUACAUUAGCAUGGAAUAAUGAAAUAGGACAUCCGAUUCUAUUUUGUUGGUUUCUAGGAUCGAUGUAAUGAUUAAUAGGGAUAGUUGGGGGCAUUAGUAUUCAAUUGUCAGAGGUGAAAUUCUUGGAUUUAUUGAAGACUAACUACUGCGAAAGCAUUUGCCAAGGAUGUUUUCAUUAAUCAAGAACGAAAGUUAGGGGAUCGAAGACGAUCAGAUACCGUCGUAGUCUUAACCAUAAACUAUGCCGACUAGGGAUCGGAUGAUGUUAAUUUUUUAAUGACUCAUUCGGCGCCUUACGGGAAACCAAGUGU
rnacentral:rRNA from 1 species